GGAUUCCGAAUCAACUCCUCUUCUUUUCCGCGAUAAAGCGGAUUCGCCGUUCGCAUCUCUGCUGAAAAGACGGUCCAGCGAGGCGCUCAAGGAUUCGCGGACACGUUCAUGGACCGCCGAAAGGGACUCGUCUGGGGAAAGAUGGGCCAAACCGAGUGAAGGGCGAGUGGACAGCAUUUCGGCAUUGAUGGCGUUAGACGUGGUUAUCGUGGCGGCCAGCUCCGUAAUCAUUGACGAGAUGGCAUCUUCACGAUGAUCACGACAACCAAUACACACCCAUGAAAUGCCGUCGUUCUCCUGGCAAGCUUUGAGGAUCUGGACAUGUUGAAUACACACACACCGCCAUCGCUUGCACGCUCCGGCCACCCACAGUUGGUAGCUGGGAACACUGUUACGGCGGCAGUAGUGGUGUUAACUACGUGUGUGUUGAGAACAAAUAAAAAAUAUUUGCUACGGCCAACUGGGCCGAGACUGUUUUCUGAACUUAAUUUCAAACGAAAAAAUCAAGCCUCUCCGAACGAAAACGAAAAAACCUCCAACGCUUCCGUAUGCAACUCAAGUGGACCGAAUUCCCCAACUCAAAGCGGGGGGGAUUCAAGGUAGAUACUUUCAAAAAUUUGCGAAAGAAAAACCAGUGGUGUGAAAUAGCGUCGUGGCGUCGG